AACGACUCUCGGCAACGGAUAUCUCGGCUCUCGCAUCGAUGAAGAACGUAGCGAAAUGCGAUACUUGGUGUGAAUUGCAGAAUCCCGUGAACCAUCGAGUCUUUGAACGCAAGUUGCGCCCGACGCCAUCAGGUCGAGGGCACGUCUGCCUGGGCGUCACACG
rnacentral:rRNA from 2 species